rnacentral:rRNA from 1 species
UACAGAGGUCUCAAGCGUUGUUCGGAUUCAUUGGGCGUAAAGCGUGCGCAGGCGGUUCGUUAUGUCCGAUGUGAAAGCCCCGAGCUCAACUUGGGAAUGGCAUUGGAAACUGGCGGGCUGGAGUGUGGCAGAGGGGGGUGGAAUUCCACGUGUAGCAGUGAAAUGCGUAGAGAUGUGGAGGAACACCGAUGGCGAAGGCAGCCCCCUGGGCCAACACUGACGCUCAGGCACGAAAGCGUGGGGAGCAAACAGG